CCUAAUCCCAGAGAAUCAAGAAAUGUGAUUAUGUUAUGAUUCCGAUCAAAAAUUCAACACGAAUUCAUGAAAUGAAAUCAAUCACACAACCCUUACCGUUCACUCGUGUCUCCCUGUAUUACCCUGUGGAUCUGAACCGGAACUCUAGAUACCAAUUGUUGAUGCAAAGGAUGAAGAAGAUGAAGAUGAAAGAAGAGAGAAGAGAGAGAGAGAGAGAAUAAUAAACUUCCACUACUUUAACAAAACGGUUACAGCAAAUAAUUGCACACACAUUGUACACAACGCACACACUCAGUACUUUAUUGUUGUAUUGUGUUGACAAUAAUAAGUGAAAUACACACCAUACAACUUCUAACAACUCAGUAAGGUAGCUUUACCCAAUUUCUUUUUAAGGGUAUAUAAGAAUUCACCGAGUCUCAAACUUUCAAAACAUACAUAAAGGAAACAUAUCAUUUUUCUCCUUUCUUUCUCUCCUUCAGUCACCUACCUCUCCUCUCAACAAUGACUUCAGUCACAUCACCGAUAAAGAUUCGACUUUGCAAUAUAGAUUCAUUAGAACUUCUUAAUCAGACGCUGGUUAGAAGGAGAAAUUGCAUAUGGUGAAAGGAUUAGAAGGAUUUAAUGGCUUGAGUCCACGUUCAAUCAAAAUGGAUAAGUGCGUGAAUGGUGGAUAUUAAGACUGACAGAGACGUUCGCAGGAUGGUGCAUAAUAUGUUUAAAAUUGUUUUGAUGGUUUUAAUCGCUUAGUUAUAGUAAUGGUAUUUUAAUUGUUGUAGUUAUUUGUGUUGUUGUUUAUGUGUUACUUGUGUGUUGAAUGUGUUGUAUUUGUUUGUGAUGGUAUUGCAAUAAACUUUGUUUUUUAUAUAUUUCAAAAGAGGUACAUGUAAAAUUA